rfam:Trametes versicolor FP-101664 SS1 unplaced genomic scaffold TRAVEscaffold_13, whole genome shotgun sequence.
ACACCGAUGGUGAAGUGGUUAUCAUGCUUGCCUUCCAUCUGCGAUAAGCAGGAGUUAGCAAGCGGCACGGGUUCGAUUCCCGUUCGGUGUA